GGGGGACCCGGGGCUCGAACUCAGUGACUUGGGCGCCAGCACCAGGCCCCUAGAGCGAUUUUUAUUUAUUCUUACGUAUUUUUGUAAGAGGACAGAAAGAAAUUGAGAUAGGCGGGGAAGAUGGAGAGAGACAAAGACACACUGGCAAUCCUUUCUUUACUGCUCUUGAAGCUUCUCCACAGCAGAAGACCGUUCAGUUCUGGCAUAUGGUGGUGCGGUGGAUUGAACCUGGGACAUUGGAGUCUCAGGCAUGUGAGUCUGUUUGCAUAACCGUUAUGCUAUCUACCCUUCGCCUCAGGACGUUUUUUAAUGCACAAUGAGAAGAGCUUUGGGGCUGGUGGGCGGUGGCGGGAACAUGCCAGAGAAGAUGGUGAAUUGUCAAGACUUCUCAGAUGAUGGGUUUUAAUGGAAACCACCCACUUUGCAUCGAGCACCUUCCUUCAGAAGUGUCACUCCUCUGGGAUUAUACGCUGUCACCUACAUGUGCAGACGAAUACUCUUUUUUCCUCCGGUCAUGCCAUUCCUCGCGGGUAAAUUUACUCUUUGUUCCUCUUUUUGCCUUUUGUGCCCCGCCCACACUUAAAAAUAAGU